GGGAAUGACGUGCCGGCGGCAGGGGGAAGACGUGGGGGGCAGGCGUGGUCCGGAUGGAUUGGGAGUAAAGAGCGUGGAGGCGGCCAUGGAGGUCCGCUGUGAAAACUCGAGGCUCAACCGCGAGAUGUCGGGGGAAACCGCAUGGCUAGAGUCCGGAAGAGGAGAGUGGAAUUCCCGGUGUAGCGGUGAAAUGCGCAGAUAUCGGGAAGAACACCCGUGGCGAAGGCGGCUCUCUGGGACGGUACUGACGCUGAGACGCGAAAGCGUGGGGAGCGAACAGGAUUAGAUACCCGGGUAGUC
rnacentral:rRNA from 1 species